GGGGAAUAUUGGGCAAUGGGGGAAACCCUGACCCAGCAACGCCGCGUGAGGGAAGAAGGUUUUCGGAUUGUAAACCUCUGUCCUUGGUGAAGAGCAGAAGACGGUAGCCAAGGAGGAAGCCCCGGCUAACUACGUGCCAGCAGCCGCGGUAAUACGUAGGGGGCGAGCGUUGUCCGGAAUGAUUGGGCGUAAAGGGCGCGUAGGCGGCCAUGCAAGUCUGGAGUGAAAGUCCUCAUUUUAAGUGAGGAAUUGCUUUGGAAACUGCGUGGCUUGAGUGCAGGAGAGGUUAUCGGAAUUCCCGGUGUAGCGGUGAAAUGCGUAGAGAUCGGGAGGAACACCAGUGGCGAAGGCGGGUAACUGGACUGCAACUGACGCUGAGGCGCGAAAGUGUGGGGAGCAAAC
rnacentral:rRNA from 1 species